CUGUGGUCCAAAAUGUUGGUGAGUUGUAGUCUAAAAUAUCUGGAAGACAUCAGAUUUCCAACCCCUAAUUAAAAUAAUGUGUAGAAGCAUAUAUUUGCUUGUUUUGUAGCAUUGUUUGCAUUUAUCUUUGUUUUGGAUCUAUUGGACAACUUUGUAAUAGGUAACAAAGUGUGAGUUGAACAAAACACAAUGAUUUAAGAAGAUGACCUCUCCUCCAGAGGAACCUUUCUUAAUCCUUAAUCAGCUUCCAUAACUCCAACCAGUGUGAUGAAGAUGAAUGUAUGUGUCCCAGGAUAAUGUUGCAGGAUCCAAUCUGGGUGGGUCAUCAGGAACACAGGUUUUGUCUUCUGAGCUUUCAGACUCCAGCUAGAGAGAAGUUACCUGAAGAUGAACU